GCGACACUAAGACGGCUAGGCUGUGGCCAGAGACUCCUUACGUGGAUAUCUGCCAUUUAUAGCAAACCGCGCGCAUCUGUACGGAUCAAUGAGGCCACGACCGCGGACUUCGCGAUAAAUAAUGGGACCCGACAGGGAUGCCCACUAUCACCGUUGCUGUUUGCAAUGACCCUGGAGCCACUACUACAGGCAAUCCGCCAAAAUCCGGACAUAUAGGGAUAUAACUGGCAGGAAGUACAGCACAAAGUUGCCGCAUACGCAGAUAACCUCCUUUUCUUUGUCCAUAAC